AAUAGAGACAAAAAUCCACCUACACCAAAAAUCCAGCCCGCACCAAAAGUCCCGCCUGCACCAAAACCUCCAGCACCUCUAAAAUACAUCAAGACAAAAGGUCCUGUUGUACGACCUCUGCUUACAACAAGCAAAGCAGUGAACUCUUUCAGCAAUUCACUUGUUAAUCACCACCAAAGGGCCAUGGAGAAGCCACAGCAGGCCCGUUUUGAGACUUUCCCCAGCUGUCAAGCUCCAGAUGUUCCCAUGAGCUUCUCCCAGGCAGAUGAGCCACAAGAUGCUUGGGGUGAACACUCACCUGACAUUCAAGAGAAUGCAUUUUCUUUGCUGAGACCUUCAAGUUCCAAGCAAGAAAGAACACAGCGUAAGUUGUAUGACUCACUUUUGGUAAGUACUGUAGGAUUUCAUGUAGGUGUACUAUAGAAAAUGUGCUUGUUUAAAGCAAAAAUGUAAAGCUAAAUAAGCUAAAAUACAAAGAAAUAGAGAGCACAAUUCAGCAG